rnacentral:rRNA from 1 species
CCCUUAGAUGUUCUGAACCGCACGCGUGUUACACUGAUGCAUUCAACGAGCUUUACCUUGGCCGAGAGGCCUGGGAAAUCUUUUUAGCAUGCAUCGUGAUAGGGAUUGAUUAUUGCAAUUAUUAAUCAUGAACGAGGAAUUCCUAGUAAACGCAUUUCAUCAAAAUGCAUUGAUUACAUCCCUGCCCUUUGUACACACCGCCCGUCGCACCUACCGAUUGAGUGGUCCGGUGAAGUCUCGAGAUUGUGGCAAUCUCCUUUAUUGGAGUUUGACUGCGAGAACUUGCCUAAACCUUAUCACUUAGAGGAAGGUGAAGUCGUANCA